CCAAUGGCAGAGCCGAAACGUCCCGUGGAGACCGCUCGUUUCUCGGAAGCCCAAAAAUCGCUCUGACCCCCGGAAAAAAAUCACUCUGACACCCCGAAAUAAGUGUCACUUAGGGAAAUCGGAAAACUUGUCAGGCGGCCAUCAUGGGCGGCAACAAGAGCUAACUUUGAUUUUUCUACCUCUCUUCUUUCGGUGGAAGAACCCUUGAGAUGUGUAGCGGCCAGUGCUGUCAUCUAGUUUGUACUGUUUAAAACAAAAAGACUUUUUCUGUUUCCCAAUCAAUUUGGGCAUUCCAUUUUAUGCCGGGUGUUAUUGAAGUUUUUUUUGAGAUGUCAGUAUUACCUGUAAGUGGGAUUUUAGACUAAAAUGCAACCACUAAAUAUAACUUCUCGGUUUACGUUGCGUGCGUAACAAAUACACGUAAAUCUUGGUUGUUUUCAAACGUUUUUGUAGAAAUACUCUGAAGUUUAAUACUAGACUAACUGCACCACGCAGUUGUAAUGAUGACGAACCUAAAUCAAACGAGGAGGCUAAACGGGUUUUUCUACUAUAGAAGCAGCUUACCCUAAUGCAAAACUAACGAACUAAAAACUAGUAAAAACGUUUACUAAAUAAAGCUGACAAAAAAUAUUGUCCACUCGAAAACCUCCACGUUCUCAGCAUCUGCACUUUUGGAGGCAGGAUACUCAACAUCUCCGCGUUAUUGAUCGUGCAGAAUUCAUGCAUGGUAUCCCGUAUCUUGGAUACAAGUUGCUAUUAAAUGUGUUAUACGAUGGCUUUUGCUAUAUUUGAUACACGAGAUCUUAGAUGGACUAUUAUCGGCCUGCUCAGUCGCCGAGGAAGGAGCCGAAAAAAGAUCUGGAUUGCGAGAUGGGACGCCAGUUUUGUAAGCGAAGAACUCGUAACGAAACCAGACGCGGGAGCAACUGCUGAUUCCUUUUGGCUACGAAGAGCUGUGACUGCAUUGGACUUGGAAUUUCGUGAGCCGGAG